rnacentral:rRNA from 1 species
GGCCUCGGGAUGGUCUGGAGCCAUGCGAGUCAUUGUAGCAAUACAAGGCAGACGGCUCAGUAACGCGUAGUCAACCUAACCUAUGGACGGGAAUAAUCUCGGGAAACUGAGAAUAAUGCCCGAUAGAACACUAUAUCUGGAAUGGUUUGUGUUCCAAAUGAUUUAUCGCCAUAGGAUGGGACUGCGGCCUAUCAGUUUGUUGGUGAGGUAAUGGCCCACCAAGACUAUUACAGGUACGGGCUCUGAGAGGAGUAGCCCGGAGAUGGGUACUGAGACACGGACCCAGGCCCUAUGGGGCGCAGCAGGCGAGAAAACUUUGCAAUGUGCGAAAGCACGACAAGGUUAAUCCGAGUGGUUUCUGCUAAAGGAACCUUUUGUCGGUCCUAGAAACACCGAUGAAUAAGGGGUGGGCAAGUUCUGGUGUCAGCCGCCGCGGUAAAACCAGCACCUCAAGUGGUCAGGAUGAUUAUUGGGCCUAAAGCAUCCGUAGCUCGUUUUGUAAGUUUUCGGUUAAAUCCAUACGCUCAACGUAUGGGCUGCCGGGAAUACUGCAUAACUAGGAAGUGGGAGAGGUAGACGGUACUCGGUAGGAAGGGGUAAAAUCCUUUGAUCUAUUGAUGACCACCUGUGGCGAAGGCGGUCUACCAGAACACGUUCGACGGUGAGGGAUGAAAGCUGGGGGAGCAAACCGGAUUAGAUACCCGGGUAGUCCCAGCUGUAAACUAUGCAAACUCAGUGGUGCAUUGGCUUGUGGCCAAUGCAGUGCUGCAGGGAAGCCGUUAAGUUUGCCGCCUGGGAAGUACGUACGCAAGUAUGAAACUUAAAGGAAUUGGCGGGGGAGCACCACAAGGGGUGAAGCCUGCGGUUCAAUUGGAGUCAACGCCGGG